rnacentral:rRNA from 1 species
GAGUUUGAUCCUGGCUCAGAUUGAACGCUGGCGGCAGGCCUAACACAUGCAAGUCGAGCGGCAGCGACUUAACUGAACCUUCGGGGAACGUUAAGGGCGGCGAGCGGCGGACGGGUGAGUAAUGCCUGGGAAUAUGCCCUGAUGUGGGGGAUAACUAUUGGAAACGAUAGCUAAUACCGCAUAAUCUCUUCGGAGCAAAGAGGGGGACCUUCGGGCCUCUCGCGUCAGGAUUAGCCCAGGUGGGAUUAGCUUGUUGGUGAGGUAAUGGCUCACCAAGGCAACGAUCCCUAGCUGGUCUGAGAGGAUGAUCAGCCACACUGGAACUGAGACACGGUCCAGACUCCUACGGGAGGCAGCAGUGGGGAAUAUUGCACAAUGGGGGAAACCCUGAUGCAGCCAUGCCGCGUGUGUGAAGAAGGCCUUCGGGUUGUAAAGCACUUUCAGUAGGGAGGAAGGUAGUGUAGUUAACACCUGCAUUAUUUGACGUUACCUACAGAAGAAGCACCGGCUAACUCCGUGCCAGCAGCCGCGGUAAUACGGAGGGUGCGAGCGUUAAUCGGAAUUACUGGGCGUAAAGCGCAUGCAGGCGGCCUGUUAANUCAGAUGUGAAAGCCCGGGGCUUAACCUCGUAAUUGCAUUUUGAAACUGGCAGGCUAGAGUCUUGUANAGGGGGGUAGAAUUUCANG